AUUUCUGAAGUCGGAGAUUUGUAAAUGAUCUGUUAAAUAAACUCAGGCUGGGACUGUUGCAAAUCCACUGCUGCAGAGAUGUCCUAGGAAUGGCAGAUGGAUUACUGUAGGAUCUGGUAGACUUAGAGAUGUGGACAAAUGGCAUACUGCACAGUCUGCUUCUUUACAUAAUUCAUUUUCUGCACUUUCAGAUUGUAGUGGUGUUACGGAAAAUGGCUCAGGCACC